rnacentral:misc_RNA from 2 species
AACGCACCUUGCGCUCCUUGGUAUUCCGAGGAGCAUGCCUGUUUGAGUGUCAUUAAAUUCUCAACCUUUAUCAGUUUUACUGGUGAAUGGCUUGGAUGUGGGAGUUGCUGGUUUCAUGUUUUUGAAAUCAGCUCUUCUGAAAUGCAUUAGCUGGUUGCCUUGUGCAAACUUGUCUAUUGGUGUGAUAAUUAUCUACGCCGUGGACUUGCAUGAAUGAGCACUGCUUAUAAUCGUCUGUAAAGACAAUCUAUGACAAUUUGACCUCAAAUCAGGUAGGACUACCCGCUGAACUUAA